UUAAGCGACUAAGCGUACACGGUGGAUGCCCUGGCAGUCAGAGGCGAUGAAGGACGUGCUAAUCUGCGAUAAGCGUCGGUAAGGUGAUAUGAACCGUUAUAACCGGCGAUUUCCGAAUGGGGAAACCCAGUGUGAUUCGUCACACUAUCAUUAACUGAAUCCAUAGGUUAAUGAGGCGAACCGGGGGAACUGAAACAUCUAAGUACCCCGAGGAAAAGAAAUCAACCGAGAUUCCCCCAGUAGCGGCGAGCGAACGGGGAGGAGCCCAGAGCCUGAAUCAGUGUGUGUGUUAGUGGAAGCGUCUGGAAAGGCGCGCGAUACAGGGUGACAGCCCCGUACACAAAAAUGCACAUGCUGUGAGCUCGAUGAGUAGGGCGGGACACGUGGUAUCCUGUCUGAAUAUGGGGGGACCAUCCUCCAAGGCUAAAUACUCCUGACUGACCGAUAGUGAACCAGUACCGUGAGGGAAAGGCGAAAAGAACCCCGGCGAGGGGAGUGAAAAAGAACCUGAAACCGUGUACGUACAAGCAGUGGGAGCACGCUUAGGCGUGUGACUGCGUACCUUUUGUAUAAUGGGUCAGCGACUUAUAUUCUGUAGCAAGGUUAACCGAAUAGGGGAGCCGAAGGGAAACCGAGUCUUAACUGGGCGUUAAGUUGCAGGGUAUAGACCCGAAACCCGGUGAUCUAGCCAUGGGCAGGUUGAAGGUUGGGUAACACUAACUGGAGGACCGAACCGACUAAUGUUGAAAAAUUAGCGGAUGACUUGUGGCUGGGGGUGAAAGGCCAAUCAAACCGGGAGAUAGCUGGUUCUCCCCGAAAGCUAUUUAGGUAGCGCCUCGUGAAUUCAUCUCCGGGGGUAGAGCACUGUUUCGGCAAGGGGGUCAUCCCGACUUACCAACCCGAUGCAAACUGCGAAUACCGGAGAAUGUUAUCACGGGAGACACACGGCGGGUGCUAACGUCCGUCGUGAAGAGGGAAACAACCCAGACCGCCAGCUAAGGUCCCAAAGUCAUGGUUAAGUGGGAAACGAUGUGGGAAGGCCCAGACAGCCAGGAUGUUGGCUUAGAAGCAGCCAUCAUUUAAAGAAAGCGUAAUAGCUCACUGGUCGAGUCGGCCUGCGCGGAAGAUGUAACGGGGCUAAACCAUGCACCGAAGCUGCGGCAGCGACACUAUGUGUUGUUGGGUAGGGGAGCGUUCUGUAAGCCUGCGAAGGUGUGCUGUGAGGCAUGCUGGAGGUAUCAGAAGUGCGAAUGCUGACAUAAGUAACGAUAAAGCGGGUGAAAAGCCCGCUCGCCGGAAGACCAAGGGUUCCUGUCCAACGUUAAUCGGGGCAGGGUGAGUCGACCCCUAAGGCGAGGCCGAAAGGCGUAGUCGAUGGGAAACAGGUUAAUAUUCCUGUACUUGGUGUUACUGCGAAGGGGGGACGGAGAAGGCUAUGUUGGCCGGGCGACGGUUGUCCCGGUUUAAGCGUGUAGGCUGGUUUUCCAGGCAAAUCCGGAAAAUCAAGGCUGAGGCGUGAUGACGAGGCACUACGGUGCUGAAGCAACAAAUGCCCUGCUUCCAGGAAAAGCCUCUAAGCAUCAGGUAACAUCAAAUCGUACCCCAAACCGACACAGGUGGUCAGGUAGAGAAUACCAAGGCGCUUGAGAGAACUCGGGUGAAGGAACUAGGCAAAAUGGUGCCGUAACUUCGGGAGAAGGCACGCUGAUAUGUAGGUGAAGUCCCUCGCGGAUGGAGCUGAAAUCAGUCGAAGAUACCAGCUGGCUGCAACUGUUUAUUAAAAACACAGCACUGUGCAAACACGAAAGUGGACGUAUACGGUGUGACGCCUGCCCGGUGCCGGAAGGUUAAUUGAUGGGGUCAGCGCAAGCGAAGCUCUUGAUCGAAGCCCCGGUAAACGGCGGCCGUAACUAUAACGGUCCUAAGGUAGCGAAAUUCCUUGUCGGGUAAGUUCCGACCUGCACGAAUGGCGUAAUGAUGGCCAGGCUGUCUCCACCCGAGACUCAGUGAAAUUGAACUCGCUGUGAAGAUGCAGUGUACCCGCGGCAAGACGGAAAGACCCCGUGAACCUUUACUAUAGCUUGACACUGAACAUUGAGCCUUGAUGUGUAGGAUAGGUGGGAGGCUUUGAAGUGUGGACGCCAGUCUGCAUGGAGCCGACCUUGAAAUACCACCCUUUAAUGUUUGAUGUUCUAACGUUGACCCGUGAUCCGGGUUGCGGACAGUGUCUGGUGGGUAGUUUGACUGGGGCGGUCUCCUCCUAAAGAGUAACGGAGGAGCACGAAGGUUGGCUAAUCCUGGUCGGACAUCAGGAGGUUAGUGCAAUGGCAUAAGCCAGCUUGACUGCGAGCGUGACGGCGCGAGCAGGUGCGAAAGCAGGUCAUAGUGAUCCGGUGGUUCUGAAUGGAAGGGCCAUCGCUCAACGGAUAAAAGGUACUCCGGGGAUAACAGGCUGAUACCGCCCAAGAGUUCAUAUCGACGGCGGUGUUUGGCACCUCGAUGUCGGCUCAUCACAUCCUGGGGCUGAAGUAGGUCCCAAGGGUAUGGCUGUUCGCCAUUUAAAGUGGUACGCGAGCUGGGUUUAGAACGUCGUGAGACAGUUCGGUCCCUAUCUGCCGUGGGCGCUGGAGAACUGAGGGGGGCUGCUCCUAGUACGAGAGGACCGGAGUGGACGCAUCACUGGUGUUCGGGUUGUCAUGCCAAUGGCACUGCCCGGUAGCUAAAUGCGGAAGAGAUAAGUGCUGAAAGCAUCUAAGCACGAAACUUGCCCCGAGAUGAGUUCUCCCUGACUCCUUGAGAGUCCUGAAGGAACGUUGAAGACGACGACGUUGAUAGGCCGGGUGUGUAAGCGCAGCGAUGCGUUGAGCUAACCGGUACUAAUGAACCGUGAGGCUUAACCUU
rnacentral:rRNA from 1 species